rnacentral:rRNA from 1 species
CUACGGGACGCUGCAGUGAGGAAUAUUGCGCAAUGGGGGAAACCCUGACGCAGCGACGCCGCGUGGAUGAUGAAGGCCUUCGGGUCGUAAAAUCCUGUCAGAAGGAAAGAAGUGUAUGGUAGCUAAUAUCUGCCAUACUUGACGGUACCUUCAAAGGAAGCACCGGCUAACUCCGUGCCAGCAGCCGCGGUAAUACGGAGGGUGCAAGCGUUGUUCGGAAUUACUGGGCGUAAAGCGCGCGUAGGCGGUUUUAUAAGUCAGAUGUGAAAGUCCACGGCUCAACCAUGGAAGUGCAUUUGAAACUGUAAGACUUGAGUAUUGGAGGGGGUAGUGGAAUUCCCGGUGUAGAGGUGAAAUUCGUAGAUAUCGGGAGGAAUACCGGUGGCGAAGGCGACUAUCUGGCCAAAUACUGACGCUGAGGUGCGAAAGCGUGGGGAGCAAACAGGAUUAGAUACCCGAGUAGUC